rnacentral:lncRNA from 1 species
GAGGGCUGUGCACAUGUGCGGGUGCCUCUGGAAGGGGUGGGAGGAACUGGCUGGGCGGGGCGUCUCCAGGAGCUGCUUCCUCUGGACCUGGCAAGUUCAGCUCUGGUGGCCUCGCUGGGCACCAGGACGGAAGCUCGAGGUGAGACAGGGAAGAGGCCACUCCCGGUGUCUGUCCUGGUGUCCUUCACAGGGAGAGUGUGCUGCUGAGGCUGGCUGCUGCUCUUCAGACGUUUAACUGGACGUGUGUAUCUAGCUUGCAGAUGGACCAGCUCCGGCCAGCUCCUAAGAUCUCCUCCUCUCUUCUCCUCCCCCUCCCCCUCUUCUCUUCCUGCCCCCAUUCUCUUCUUCCUCCCUCCACUUCUCCUUCCCCCCUCCCCCUCCCCUCUUUCUCAGAUUUUGAACUUUAUCUGGUUUUCCUAACAUCCUCUCUGGCUCCAGGACACCACCCCUCGGACACUUGGAGGUUGUGUCUCCUUAGGCUCCUCCUGGCUGAGACGGUGGCCUGGACAGUUGUGAGGGUAUGGUGGGUUGUGCCGGUGGCUGGGUUGGAACCUGCAUGACUCUCACCUGGCUGCACUCUGGGUCCUGGGGAGAACCAUCAGGGCAGAGCAAGGUUCUUGCCUUGGCAGGGUGCACUCUCAACAGGACCCGUCACUGCUGGUGCAGAUCUGGGUCAGGGCAGGUGUUGGUGUCUCCUGUCGGUCACCCUGCCCCCAUUCCUACUGUCUCCCCUGGAGAGUCCCUCUGCAGUGGGCACUGCUGAUGUGGGAGGGAGCGCCCCAUCCUUUAUUCUAUUUUUGGGAGAUUUGCCCCUUCCUCAUGCAUGCUUUAUUCAGGUGUCCUCGUGGACUUGUGGACGCCGACUUUAUAGGCUGGGUCCUAAGACUACACUAUUUCCUUGCUCCAGUUGUUCCAGCUCUGGCCACUGGGGGCGCUUCCAUGUGUCCCCAUCAUUUGAGCUUUUCGUUGUUUUUUAAGACAGGGUCUCACUCUGUUGCCCAGGCUGGUCUGGGACUCAUGGGCCCAGGUGAUCCUCCCACCUCAGCCUCCUGAGUAGCUGGGACCACAAGAGCACCCCUCCUGGCUGAGGGGGUUUUAUUGUAAACACUUCUUUACUUUUUGGCACCGCAGAUGGUCUAGUCCACUCUGUGUUUCCUGCCCUGCUCCUCAGAUCAGCUCUCUCUCUCUGAGGAGCACUGGCUCCUUUUAUUGGAGAACAGUGUUAGGAGCCAAGACCCGGGCUGGGUGCCCAUGGCUGCUGGGGGUUCUUUGAGGCCCACUCAGCUGACAGUAUACACACACUCAACUUUUUGCUCUAUCUGCCCACGGACCUGUGUUUCUUCCCGUAGCCCUCUGCUGCAGCAGUCAGAUGGGAGUUUCACUGACAUCUCUGAUCUGUUGCCCCAGGGACCGUUCCCUCCGCUUGCUUAGAUCUGUGUCCCGGCAGCGAGGAACACGGCUCCUCCCCACAGUGCCCUGGUUCAGCUGUUCCUGCUCAGCAUCCACACACCCCUUCAUGGAGCAGCUGGGAGGCAGGAGGGACUCUGUGGCACACUCACCGGAAAGGGUGGGCACAGUGGGUCACCAGGCACGCUUAGCUCUCAGGUGGUGGCUGUUCUCAACCCUGAGAAAUGAGACCAGCGAGGCCCCUCCUCGAGGGCCCAUGAGGGAUGGAGCUGGACGUGAGGUUCACAGCCUGGUGGUCUGCUUCUGCAGGGGACAGUGCCACUCAUCACACUGGAUAGGGAUGGGGCCCCUGACACAAGCAGGGGUUGUGAAUUGUAUCUGGUUUGUUUGGAGGUCUACAUUUGAAUCUGGUUACGCACUGAGGACUCGGUCUCAGCCUUCCCUUAUUUUAGGGCUAAGUAAAGGCCUCCUUUCUGUGUUUCACAUGGGGCUUUUGACAGGCUUCAAAGCCCGAACGGAGCGAGCAGGAGACUUCAGGAUGCCACAUCCUCAC